rnacentral:rRNA from 1 species
AACGAACGCUGGCGGCAUGCCUAACACAUGCAAGUCGAACGAGACCUUCGGGUCUAGUGGCGCUCGGGUGCGUAACGCGUGGGAACCUGCCCUUAUGUUCGGAAUAACUCCCCGAAAGGGGUGCUAAUACCGGAUAAUGUCUUCGGACCAAAGAUUUAUCGCCUUUGGAUGGGCCCGCGUUGGAUUAGCUAGUUGGUAGGGUAAAAGCCUACCAAGGCGACAAUCCAUAGCUGGUCAGAGAGAAUGAUCAGCCACACUGGGACUGAGACACGGCCCAGACUCCUACGGGAGGCAGCAGUGGGGAAUAUUGGAAAAUGGGCGAAAGCCUGAUCCAGCAAUGCCGCGUGAGUGAUGAAGGCCUUAGGGUUGUAAAGCUCUUUUAACCGGGAUGAUAAUGACAGUACCGGGAGAAUAAGCCCCGGCUAACUACGUG